rnacentral:rRNA from 1 species
GCAGCCGCGGUAAUACGUAGGGUGCGAGCGUUGUUCGGAAUUACUGGGUGUAAAGGGUCCGUAGGCGGGCGAGCAAGUCGGUGGUGAAAGUUCGCGGCUUAACUGCGAAAUGGCCCUCGAUACUGCUUGUCUUGAGUUCGAGAGAGGAUGAUGGAAUUCAUGGUGAAGCAGUGAAAUGCGUAGAGAUCAUGAAGAACACCAGUUGCGAAGGCGGCCAUCUGGCUCGAAACUGACGCUCAGGGACGAAAGCGUGGGUAGCAAACAGGAUUAGAUACCCUGGUAGUCCACGCCCUAAACGAUGGAUGUUCGGUGUCGGUCCCGCCCAGCACUCGUCAUUGAGUUCUGAGCGGGAUCGGUGCCUGAGCUAACGCGUUAAACAUCCCACCUGGGGAGUACGAUCGCAAGGUUGAAACUCAAAGGAAUUGACGGGGGCCCGCACAAGCAGUGGAGCAUGUGGUUCAAUUCGAUGCAACGCGAAGAACCUUACCUGGGUUUGAAAAGCUCUGUAAACCGGUGAAAGCCGGCUAGUGUAGCAAUACACGCGGAGUACAGGUGCUGCAUGGCUGUCGUCAGCUCGU